GUCAAAUGUGGUGGGAACGGGGACAAGACGAGGGUCCUUAGUGAAGGUGUUUGUUGUUAAAUAGAACAAUUCAGCUGUCUCUUUAGAAAACUUGACAAAAGGAAAUGCUCCCUGCUGAAAAUUUUCUUAGCCUGUUGCACAAAAGAUGAAGUUUGUUUAAGAAAUUGCUGCUAAAGAAAGCGUCAACCCAUUAAGGGAGUGCUCCUGGCUGACUCAAGGGACCAUAUGUGUUGUUGAAAAACAAACCUCGUUAGCAGCAUUCAAGACAAGGGAAAAAAAUCAAGAGAUCCAUGAUACCUUUUACUCUCAAGUUCCAGAAGAAUAAAGCACAUUCUCUGAAGAUGGAGAGAGACAGCUCUUCAUUUAUCUCCCUCAGAUUUGUUUGCCAAUAGGACAUUGUCUAGAUGCUCUUCUCAUCAAGAGGCGAUAGCCCUGCUGGGGAUGUUUGCAGCUUCAACAAAGAUUCCCAGAGUUGUGGGCCAUACUCUCAACACUGAAGUGCAUAGAACUUGGCAGAAAUCUACACUUCAGAGAUAAUAACAUAUCAUUCCAUGAAAUAAGGGAAAAGGCAUA